rfam:Danio rerio chromosome 4, GRCz11 reference primary assembly.
GCCCGGCUAGGUCAGUCGGUAGAGCAUGAGACUCUUAAUGUCAGGGUUGUGGGUUCGAGCCCCACGUUGGGUC